rnacentral:rRNA from 1 species
AACGAACGCUGGCGGCAGGCCUAACACAUGCAAGUCGAACGCUGUAGCAAUACAGUGUGGCAGACGGGUGAGUAACACGUGGGAAUCUUCCUAUCGGUACGGAAUAGCUCAGGGAAACUUGAGGUAAUACCGCAAACGCCCUUCGGGGGAAAGAUUUAUCGCCGAUAGAUGAGCCCGCGUCUGAUCAGCUGGUUGGUGAGGUAAUGGCUCACCAAGGCGACGAUCAGUAGCUGGUCUGAGAGGAUGACCAGCCACACUGGGACUGAGACACGGCCCUGACUCCUACGGGAGGCAGCAGUGCGAAAUAUUGAACAAUGGGCGCAAGCCUGAUCCAGCCAUGCCGCGUGAGUGACGAAGGUCUUCGGAUUGUAAGGCUCUUUUGCCAAGGACGAUAAUGACGGUACCUAGAGAAUAAGCCCCGGCUAACUUCGUGCCAGCCGCCGCCGUAA